CAACAGUCAACGAUAAUCAACAAAGUAUCCAACAAUCCAAAUAGUCAACGAUAAUCAACAAAGUAUCUAACAAUCCAAAUUCUAGUUAAGUUAGCACCUAGCAAAAUAGAUUCAAGUUCCUAAAACAAACAUAAUCAAGGGGGUGGUAGAUUCCUCAUCUCAGCUAGCAGCUUCAUGAACUCGGCUUGCUGUGCCUGCAACUGUGCCUGUACGUCUGCACGCAUCUGAGCCUCUCUAGCUUGUGCCUCCUCUCGUAUCUGCGCCUCUCUAGCCUCCAUCUUAGCCUGCAUCUGAGCCUCGUACUCCUUCAUCUUAUCGGCUAAAACUGCAUCAAGCUGAGGCUGUGAGCUAAAACUGGCUCCUUGGUUGGAUCUAGAGGUGGAGGUGUAAGCAUGAGAACGUGAACCAAUCCCAAAAACUCGCUUCUUGGCCGAUACGCCUCCAACUGCAUCCAAUAGAAACCUGUUCAUGUCUACCUCCUGAGACUCAGAGCUAUCAUUUGACUGAGAUUGAGCUAGCUCUGCAGCCUUGGCAGUCACUUGGGCCUGUUUUUGUAGUUAAUAAAAACUUUAUAAGUUAAUCAUUAAGUAUAGAUACAUAAAGAUGAAUUUGUGAUAACUUAAUUUAAGGAUUUCAUACGUAUGCAUCUCGAGCUCUGGGAUAGGUGAAUUCUCCAGCCUUCGCAUGCAAGACAUUGAAGACACUCCAGUCCACUUCUUCAGCUGGAACUCCUUGUUCUCUCUUCAGUUCAAACAAAUUAAUAAUAGUUAAUAAAAAUUUAAAGAAAUUUAAGCUGUAUUUAAUUAAUACUAACUUACCAGUACUACAGCAUGCUGUAGGGCAUUUCUCGACCCUCCUCUAUGGAUGGAAAUACCAGUACCAGGCCCAUCAGGCUCAGACAUCCUAUUCUUUUGUGCUUUGGCUGCCUUAGCCUUCACUUCAUCCUUGUUCCAAUAUUCUAACCACUUUUCCCACACAUUCUGCCUCAUCCAAGGAGGACGCUCAGGUCUGCCCUUCUUCAUUUUAUGAAUCAUAUCUUUAUAACGAAUAGUAGCCCUGGCAUACCACCUAGCGUAUACCGCCUCAUCAGUGAGGUCAUCCUUCCACCAAUACACUUUCUGCAAGCAUAACCCAACAAACAAACCAAAACAAUAUCAAUUCAAUAAAGUGAAUAUAUCAUAAUAUAUCAUUAAAUGAAGGGACACAACCCAACAAACCAAAACAAUACCAAAUAAUUCAUAAUAUCAUCAACUUCAGUAAAUAUAUCAUUAGAUGAAGGGACACCGCUCAACAAACAAUUCAAAAUCAAAUUGAAAUCAACUUAACUAAAAUUUAUCAUAAAAUUAAGGGACACAGCCCAACAAACAAUUGAAAACAAUAAGUAAUUAAACCUUAAAUUCAGCCCAGUAAUCCUGUUUCGUUGCAUCCGGCACUGCUCUCCAUGUCCAGCCAUCAUGAUCCAUGUUGGUUUUAAAACUGUUUGUGAUUGUGGUUGGAACGGCAUGAUAUGGAUACAUAAGGUCCCUGAAUCCAACACAAAACAAUAAGUGUUAAAGUUAAAUAAUUUCAAAAUAAAAUAGUAAGUGUUAAAAUUGAGCCAACAAACUUACUUGAAGAGGAUGCUGCAACGGGGUCAGGGAAGGACCGACGACGGCUGAGGAUGAGGCCGGAGGGCCGAGGCGGUGGUGGCGAUUGGAGGCUGGGACAGAAAUUGAACGGAAUGAGCCAUAUUUGAACUUUAAGCAACAGAAAUUGUAAAUAGGCUGCGGCGAAACAGAAAUUGAACGGAAUAAGCCAUACCUCUAACUUCUGCCGAAACAGAAUAGGCGGCGGCGGCGGCGGCGGAGGGGCGCUUUCGGUUCUUCUUCUCGUAGAUCCCCUGGCCUUGAAUUGUAGAUUGCAGACGUUGCGGAGGUAGAGGCUGACGGCGCGGGCUGCGAAGGUGUUCCUCAGCGGCAAUAGCCGGUGGAGGCGAAGGACGGUGAACGGUGAAGGCAGGACGGCGGUAGGGUGGCUGGAGGCGGUAGGGUUCACCAUUAAUUUAGGGAUUUAGGAUUUUAGGGAAAAAAAAGUGGAGAGAAGGGAGAAAGAAAUCUGGCGCUGAAAUUAAAUUUUGAGAC
rnacentral:lncRNA from 1 species